GAACGCUGGCGGCGUGCCUAAUACAUGCAAGUCGAGCGAGCGGAACAACAGAUUUACUUCGGGUAAUGACGUUGGGAAAGCGAGCGGCGGAUGGGUGAGUAACACGUGGGGAACCUGCCCCUAAGUCUGGGAUACCAUUUGGAAACAGGUGCUAAUACCGGAUAAUAAAGCAGAUCGCAUGAUCAGCUUUUGAAAGGCGGCGUAAGCUGUCGCUAAGGGAUGGCCCCGCGGUGCAUUAGCUAGUUGGUAAGGUAACGGCUUACCAAGGCGACGAUGCAUAGCCGAGUUGAGAGACUGAUCGGCCACAUUGGGACUGAGACACGGCCCAAACUCCUACGGGAGGCAGCAGUAGGGAAUCUUCCACAAUGGACGCAAGUCUGAUGGAGCAACGCCGCGUGAGUGAAGAAGGUUUUCGGAUCGUAAAGCUCUGUUGUUGGUGAAGAAGGAUAGAGGUAGUAACUGGCCUUUAUUUGACGGUAAUCAACCAGAAAGUCACGGCUAACUACGUG
rnacentral:rRNA from 1 species